UAUAUAAUACACAAUUUGACCCACAUAUUCGUCAUAUAUAUUGUAUAAAGUCCAUUGAAAGUUGGAAACCCUAAUAUUAGGUUAGAAGCACCGAGGUCCUCUUGUUCGAUAUAUGGGGCCUUGACAACCUAUGGUCCGAUUUCGGCGAUUUUUAGAAUGGGGCUGCCACACUAUAAACGUAGUAUUUGUGCAAAGUUCUGCAUCGAUAUCUUCACUAGUGCUUACUUUAUAUGUAUAUUGUAAAGUAAACAAUUCAGAUCGUCUUCAAAGUUUUGGUAUAUAGGAAGUAGGCGUGGUUGUGAAGCGAUUUGGCCUAUUUUCACAACAUAUCAUUGGGAUGUAAGGAAACUAUUACAAACCAAGUUUCAUUAAAAUCGAUCGAGUAGUUCCUGAGGGUGGGCGACGCCACGCCCAUUUUCCAUUUUGUAAAAAAAUCUGAGUCCAACUUCCUUCUGCCAUUUCUUAAGUAAAAUGUUGGUGUUUCUGACGUUUCUCGUUAGUGAGUUAACGCACUUUUAGUAAUUUUCAACCUAACCUUUGUAUGAGAGGUGGGCGUGGUUAUUAUCCGAUUUCUUUAGAUUUUGUACUGUAUAAGGAAACGGCUAAAAGACACGACUGCAGAAAGUUUUGUUUAUAUAGCUUUAUUGGUUUGCAAGAUAUAUACAAAAAAACCUAUUUGGGGGCGGGGUCACGCCCAUUUUUCUAAAAAAAAUUGCAUUAAAAUGUGCCCCUCCCUAAUGCGAUCCUAUGUUCCAAAUUUUAUUUUCAUAACUAUAUUUAUGGCUUAGUUAUAGCUCUUUAUGUGUUUUUGGUUAUCGCCAUUUUGUGGGCGUGGCAGUGGUCCGAUUCCGCCCAUCUUCGAACUUAACCUUCUUAUGGUGCCAAGGAACACAUGUUCCAAGUUUCAUUAAGAUAUCUCAAUUUUAACUCAAGUUACGCCUUGCACGGACGGACAGACAGACAUCCGGAUUUGAACUUUACUCUUCACCCUGAUCACUUUGGUAUAUAUAACCCUAUAUCUAACUCGUUUAGUUUUAGGACUUACAACCAACCGUUAUGUGGACAAAACUAUAAUACUCUCGUAGCAACUUUUGUUGCGAGAGUAUAAAAAGAAAAGAAACAGCGAAAUUUGCAUUAUAUAAGACGAGAAUUAGAUUAUACAGCUAUAUAUGUACAUAUAUAUAUACAUAUGUAUGUCAGUUAUUGGGUUGAUAUAUGUAUAGACUAAUCUAUAAUAAUAGAGAUUUGUUUUAUGAAUCGAGCUUUGACAUUUAGUUAUUAAAUACAGUGGAAAUUCUCUAACCCGAAUCACCAUAAUCCACAAUAAAACUUCGAGUUAGAUAGACUUCUAGUUAGAGAAUUUUCAUUAAAAUAUAAAAUUUUUCAAAAAGCUGUAAAAUUUAGAUUUAUACCCAAUUUUAUUUAUUUACUUCACAUAAAGUUUUAUGUACAUAUAUCGUUAAAAUAUGUAUUCUGUAAUUUUGUUUGAUGCAGCGCGCUAAUGUUUGGCUCUUGACGUCUGUAUCACAUGCCCUUGUUACAGGAUUUAUAAUUCAUAUAUAGAAGGACUCUUUUAAAAUUCGGCCUCGAUAGUAAAAUUUUAAAUUUUGUAUUAUGUCACCGUCAAAAAGUUCGAUUUAUGGAACGAAAUUUGUAUGAAAUUUAACUUCUAUUGCCAAUUCAAGAGUUCGAGUUAUGGAGAACUUCGAUUUAUAGAAAUUCGAGUUAGGGAAGGAAAUUGGUAUGAAAUUCAGCUUCUAAACGCUAUUGCCAAUUCAAAAGUUCGAGUUAUGGAAUGAAACAACAGUUUUGAAACAUGAUUCUGUUCUUUAUUUCAUUAACAAACCACUUUUAGUUUAUGGUCAAGAGAACAACCACAUGUCGGGUUUAAUAAUAUAAAAAAUAUACAAAUCUUAAGUCAUAGAAGUACUUUAAGUUGUUUGAAAACAUAGUUUAAGAUUUUUUGAACUAGAAAAAUGUAUAACAAAGAUCUAAAAAAUAACCUCAUCGAUUCAAAAAGAAGGAUACCCCUGACAAUGUUCUGUGAGUGCGCAGAAAACCCCAUUCUAGGAUUUUGUUACGAUUUUCCAGAAAUAAGGCGAAUUGAUAGAAACAUUUUCUAGGUCUAUGGCUGGUCAAUUAUAAUUGUCCUAAAGAAGAUCAUUAUUAUUAGCGGUGAUAAUAGAACUAUUCUUCUCCCUAUACCCAAUUGAUAAAUAAUAGAUCCCAGGUCGUUGUCAUGUCAGUCAAAUAUACAGAACGGUAAUGGAUUUGGAUUUAUGUACAUAUCCAUACACACUAUCUUUGUAUAUCCGGCUAUGAACUGUCAACUCGGCAGUUUUCCGAAGUCUAUCUAUGGAAUAGUUUACAUUGCUACAACAACAAUAAUAGAUACGGGAUUUCUUGGUCUGCUUGAUUUUUAUACGUACUUACAUACAUACAUACGUUAAAAACAACUUAGAAGGACCUUAACUUGUUUCAUUGUUAAUAUAUAAGAAUAAGCCUACAUUAAGGCGUUGCGUACGUACUUUUAUGCAUUAAAAUAGUUUUGGCGAUAACUUUAUAUCAUUUAUAAUCAACUUAUGCUAUGCAUAAUAUACAUAUACUCCCAUACAUGCAUAUAAAUUUUUAUAUGUUAGAUGUUUGAAGCAACAAACUCAGUGAAGAUGCCAAAAGAGCAUAAUUGUAUCCAGAUAUUAAGUAAACAUACAUACUUAUAUGUACAUUUGUAUGUGGCCAUAUGCAUAAAUAAGUUUUGCAAUAAAUCUACAACGAGCAAGUUCCACCGGCAACGCAGCACAGUGCAGUUCAAUUCCUAAACAAACCCCAACAACAACAACACUCAACACCACAGCUGGCUGAAAAGUCAGUGAGCUAGCGAAACAAGUAGGCAGACAAAAACUACAGCAACACAUACACAGGCAUGCAUAAUCGUAAAUGCUGCUGGUGCAAGUACUCGCUUACCAACAAUAACAAUUUUACAUAUUCAUCUAGAUACAUGUAAAUACAUAUGCAUAUAUGUAUCUGUAUCGAUGUAAAAAUGUUUGCAUGUCAGCAUGCACGGUGGAAUACAUAUUUGCUCUCUUUGGGUAGGAAAUUGUUUACAGUAACUGCGCAUCGCACUCGCUGCCAGCUAACUGUGACAUAUGCACACAUUUAAAUAAAUCGAGGUAAAGAACGAACAGAGCGAACAGCAAAAAUGUAUGGAAAAUCUACUAAAACUGAGCAACUGGCGUUCGGUCGCACUGUCUCUACACCGGUCGACGGUCUGGCUCGGCUAUGCCUGUCGGUCGCCCUCGCCACACAUUUGGCGCGCCGCCGGCUACGCUAUCGUCGUUUUCGCCUCACACUUUUGGAUUAGGCUGCACAUGUACGUGGAUGCGAGUGUUUAGUGUGUGUGUGUAGAGUUUUGCAAGCGUGCUGAUAUUCCGUACAACAAAUAAAUGUGUAAUAACAACACAUAUGUAACUACAGAAGCACUACCUCUAUGAACCAUAUAUGAUACAAGUAUAUACUUAUGUAUUUACAUACAUAAAUACAAACAAGUGAAUAAAUGUAGCUUUUUCUUCUUUGACUCUUUGGCGUUCUCCAAAAUUGCAUUUGAGAUGCUAGUUGUUGUCGUUGCUGUUGUUGCUUUUGUUGCUAUUUUGUUGAUGAAGAUAAUGAUUAUGCUAACACAAUCGGGAAAAUGCGACUUAACACAAUGAUAACAACUACAACAAUCAAUGGAAGUGCAAAAUAAACCCAAAAAUUUAUUUAAUUCUUUUACGAUUUUUGCUGUUGACAAUGAGCUUUUUAUGAUUCAAGCUCUAACUAGUACCUAGUCGAACGCACAGAAUACUUCGUAGUAGAUACACACACUGAAGCACUUACAAUGUAUAAAUGUAUAUGUAUGUAAGUGUGUAAGUAUAUGGUAGAUAAAUAUUUUUGUAUAAAUUAUAACUUUUCGUCGGAAAUAAUUGUUAUUCUUCGGUGUUCUAGGUAAACAGUAUUUAUAAUUCAUAACAAGUAAGGAUGGGCUAAAUAUAGUCGCAAUGUGUAAUAAUUGCUGGAAUUAUGAAACUAUUGUCCACAGCUUGGCGUCAAAUUAACUUUUUUUAUCAAAUAAUCACUCAAGAAGAGAAAUUAAUAUAUUCGGGUGAGAUAUAAACCUAUAAAUAAUAUUUGACACAAAAUAACAUUUUCUUUUAGAAAAUGCGCCCAAUCAAUUUCAUUAAUAACUAGCAGACCCGGAAACACGUUUUGUGGCUAAGAUAUACAAUCAAUCUUGGCUUCGAAGACGAUACAAAGUUCAUUACAAAGUCGAGGUUGAUUCGACGACAUCUUUAUUUUUUGCGUUUGUUGAUUUCAAUAUUGGUCGUUUACUCAGCCAAUUAUGGGUAUUAUAUUGUUAUUUUAUGUCCGGAAAGAGACAGAAAUGUUAUUAAUCCAUCGAGGUGUCAACUGUGACCUUACCAGUUCCAAUAUCUAGCGACUGCUUCUACAAUCACAGUUUGAUCUUGUUGCAAAAACACUUGGAUGUAUAAAUAAACGAUUUUUGUGCGCCGUACUUCCCAAAUUAUCAACUUGCAUAUCUGGAGAAUCUUCGCUAUAGCUCUAUUUUUGGCGAUCUUGCAAACUGGUGUUUCGUUGAUUUGCAAUUUAGGAGUAAUUUCAAUGCCGAAUGUACAGUUUGUGUGCCUACUAACAGGUAGCCAAGUUGCCUCUAUUCCCGUUAUGCUUUGAUGGUUAAAAUGAGUGAAAUCGGUUCAGGAAUUACCACGGAAUUACAAUAAAUGAUGAUUUUCGUUAUUAUAUUCUUCUUUAUGAAUAUAUGGGUCAGUAUUGUGUGUUAUCUUAAUAAAAUUACAUCACUAAAUUACGAGGGUAUAAAAUGUUCGGUUGCACCCAAACUUAGCCUUUCCUUACUUGUUACAAAUUGUUUUGGGCUAUCCAACCUUAUACAAUUGAACAAUGCCAAAAAUAUUUUAACAAAGCAACAAUGACUACCUUCAAAAUAUUAUUAUUUUUUGUUUUCUAUUUUUUUUUUAAUUUUGUUGUCAACUCAUAUAAAGUUCUGUUAUUGCAAUCUUCCGCGCAAUUUUUCUAUAUUUACUUUCUUUCUAAACCUUUUUUGGCCAUGCUCGAAUAUUUUAAGACUAAAAUUAGCCAGAUCGGUAUGGCAGUUCUUGACUUUUUGCGAGACUAACGAACAGCAAUUCGUUUUUAUACAUACAUACAUAUCUAUAAAAUACAAAUUGUUUGUAUGGUAGAUUAGAAAAAUGUGAAUUUUAGGCUUUUUCAGGCAAUUUUUUUUUUAAUUUUUCUCUCCGUAAGAACCAUCCUCAAACACCCUGGAAUACACACAAAAAUAAUGAGUGAAAUCGGUCUAGUCGUUUUCAUGCUAUGUCGUGACAACGGAAAACGGGUUUCAUUUUUAUAUAUAUAGAUAAGACAUUCUACGUUACCAGAUUAAUUGUGGAACGAAAAGCAAUAAGAGCGCGCCGUUCCUCUCUUUCCUUCGCUGUUCGGCGCCAGUUGGAGAUUCCAAGUGUAACCAGGUCGCUCUCCAUCUGGUCCCUCCAACGGAGUGGAGGCCUUCCCCUUCCUCGGCUUCCUUCGGCGGGUACUGCAUCGAACACUUUCAGAGCUGGAGUGUUUUCGUCCAUUCGGACAACAUGACCUAGCCAGCGCAGCCGCUGUCUUUUUAUUUGCUGAACUAUGUCAAUGUCGUCGUAUAACUCGUACAGCUCAUCGUUCCAUCGUCUGCGGUAUUCGCCGUUGCCAAUGUUAUGAGGACCAUAAAUCUUGCGCAAAAUUUUCCUCUCGAAAACUCCUAGUGUCGUCUCAUCUGAUGUUUUCAUCGUCCAAGCUUCUGCACCAUAAAGCAGGACGGGAAUUAUAAGCGACUUGUAGUGUUUGACUUUGGUUCGUCGAGAGAGGACUUUACUUUUCAAUUGCCUACUCAGUCCAAAGUUCCCAGGUAUACGAAAUUAUCUACGAAUUCGAAGUUAUGACUGUCAACAGUGACGUAGGAGCCAAGACGCGAAUGCGCCGAAUGUUUGCUUGAUGACAGGAGCUAUUUCGUCUUGUCCUCAUUCACCUCCAGACCCAUUCGCUUCGCCUCCUUAUCCAUGCGGGAAAAAGCAGAACAAACGGUGCGGUUGUUGCUUCCGAUGAUAUCAAUAUCAUCGGCGUACGCCAGGUGCUGUACUUUCUUAUAGAAGAUUGUACCUUCUCUAUUUAGCUCUGCAGCUCGUAUAAUUUUUUCCAGCAUCAAGUUAAAGACGUCACACGAUAGUGAGUCACUUGUCUGAAACCUCGUUUGGUAUCGAACGGCUCGGAGAGGUCCUUCCCAAUCAUGACGGAGCUUUUGGUGUUGCUCAACGCCAACUUACACAGCCGUAUUAGUUUUAUAAAAGUGGGGAUAUUUAUAAAAGUGAAAUUUCGUUAUUUAAAAUUAAAUUUAUUUUGCUGUGCAAAGGACAGCACUAGGAAGGGGGCGGGGCCACGCCCACAAAUAGGAUUUUUGUAUAUAUCUCGCAAACCAAUAAAGCUAUAUAAACCAAACUUUCUGCAGUCGUUUUCCUUACGUACCCCAUCAUACACCACGAAAAUAGUGUAAAUACAAAGGUUAUAUUGAAAAUUACUAAAAGUGCAUUAACUCACUAACGAAUAACAUCAGAAACCCUAAAUUUUGCAGAAGAAAUGGCAGAAAGAAGUUGCACUCAGACUUUUGUACAAAGUGGAAAAUGGGCGUGGCGACCCCCACUUAUGGGUCAAAAACCAUAUCACAGGAACUAUUUGACCGAUUUCAAUGAAAUUCGGUAUAUAUCAUUUUCUUGACACCCCGAUGACACGUGUGGUGAAAUCGGUUCACAGCCACGACUACUUUCCAUAUAACUCACUUUUGAAUUCCAUCUCAUUUAUUCACUUUAUAAUAUAUACAUAACGAACCAAGAAGAUAAUGUAGUAAAACUUUACACAAAUACUGUAUAUGAUAAGUACUUGUGAAACAAAUUUUGAAUUCGGACUAUAACUUUUCGAUGUCCGGAUAUCGAAUAUUAAGAAUUCAGUGCCUUAUGGUAAUUUUUCACCGAAAAUAUCGCUAAAUCUCUCAGAUAUAUUAAUGUAAUUCAGAAGAAAUCAUUUUCUUCCUAUAGCGUGUCUCUGUCGGUUCAUAACUUCCCCUAGCUCUCAUAUACCUAAUUAUAGGGUUUUCAAAACUACGAUGGCCUUAAUACUGUAUAAAUCGGUUAAUAUGUGAAAUAUCUUAGCCAAAUUAAGUGAGCCCAUACAUGAUCUUAGAUAUAAUGUGGUGAGUGAAAAUGAGUGAAAUCGGUUCAGGAAUUACCUUAGCCUAUAUACUAUAUAUGAGGAUUUUCGUUAUUCUAUUGGACUUUAUGCAGAAUAUAUGGGUCAAAUUGUGUGUUUCCUUAAAAAAACUAUAUCAAUAAAUUGAGUAUAAAAUGUUCGGUUGCACCCGAACUUAGCCUUUCCUUACUUGUUGCACUUUACUAUUGUCUAAAUCCCAUGCUUUUGUUACUUUUGAAAUAAAUUAGAGAUUUACAAAUUUUUAUUAUCCUCCUUACGAUAUAAAGGGACUCUUUUCAAAUUGUGCCUCGAUAGUAAAAUUUUAAAUUUAUUAUUCCUAGUCGAAAAGUUCGAUUUAUAGAAGGAAAUUUGUAUGAUAUUUGACUUCUAAAGCCAAUUCAAGACUUGGCGUUGUGGAGGUCUUCGAGUUAUGUAAAAGCCACGUUGUGCUAAGUAUUCUCGUUCAAUCUUCCUCUGGAGUGGUGGAAUGUCUAAUAGUCUAAGUCUGGAGUGAUUCUAAAAAUAUUGUUUUGCAAAAACCACAUUGUUAUCAAGAAGACAUGUCCGGUAUUAAGGUAAUAAUACCCCUGGCAGACGGCAGGCGGCGUUAUUUCGGAAUAACUGCUUUAAUCGGGGUUAAUUCGAGAGUUAUCUCAGUUAACUCCGUUUGCUAACUCCCAUUUAAUCCCCAAAAUUUUAUAGAGUUAGUGGGAGUGAAUGAAAAUAUGCAAUACUGACAGCUGCUUUUCAACUAAAUGUAAACAAAAACAUACGCAUGCUAAUUUUUUCUAAAACGGAAGUUCUAAUAAUAACGUAUUUAUGUUUAUUUUUUUAGUAAUUAGUGAUUUUGUGCUAAUUGUGCGGCUAACAACCGCAAUAUUUGCUUUCUAUACAAUUUUAUUUUACCAAAAUGGAAAUAUUAUUGCCAAUCAGCUGUUUGGGAGUUUAUAACUCGCUUUGCUGCCGUCUGUCACCUACAUAUUUAAAACUGAUUAAAAGCACAGAUAAUCCGAAUUAACUUUGCCGUCUGUCUAGGCUAUAACACAUUCACCUACAUACAUACAUACAUACAUACAUAUUCGGUAUACAAUCAACCGAAGCCAUAGAAAUUCUUGGAUUUGACAUAUGGGAGCCACAAAUGGCUUGGACCCAUUUCGAUGAAAUUUAAAUGAAAGCAGUCGUCACAUAUCUUAAUCACUACUUGUGCUAUGUAUUUUUUAAUAACUUUAUUGAUAAUCUAGUUAUUCAUUUCAAAUUAAUGCAUCUCAUAGGAAGAAGGAAUUUAAACUUUCCUUGAGCGAACUUUAGCUUUAAGUUUCGCUGUUUUUGUAGACUAAAUCAUUAAUAAAAUAAACGAAACUAUUUGGAUUACUUUUGUAAGAAAUUAAUAAAAUUAAACACUGGUUCUUCAUAUGACGCAUCAAAACCACAGUUUUCAAUGACACAUUAUACAUUUCUACUGAAGAUAAGCCUGUUAUACUAUGUAUACAUCACACCAUUUUGCGUGAUUAUAUUAUUAUUGUUACAGAAUGUGUAGCUGUAAAAUAUUAAGCUAGAAAUUUAGAAUAAGCAUGAAACUUUACGUCUCGGUCAUAAUAAAGCCGUUCUUCGGGUCCUUUGCUACUAAUGUAUUUUUAAAAGAUCUCCAACAUAUUGCUAUGACCAAGUAAAAGAGUUGUGAAGUGGGUUAAAAUACACGCGACUUUUAAAAAAAAGGCCACACCAGAAUCUCUCGAAAAACCAACAACAAUAAACAGAUUGGAAACAUUUUCUGUGACCUGAGCUGUUAACUUUGUUGUUAUAUAUGUACAUACUAUGUACCUUCAGUGAAAUUGUCUCUGAGCUGAGCAUUCGAUUGACACUAGCUUACAAAAAUCAAGUCUCUCCUCAGUAUUAACAUUACAAUGCGACGCGAACGUUUGCUCGACAACGACAUCUCUUCAAAUUUUAAUACAUACACACAAGAUAUUAAAACGCUAAAAAGUCUAGACCUCCACAUUAGCUAACCAUAUUUCACUAUAUUUACAAUAAAAUUGUUUACACAAAUUUCAACAGCAAAUAUAUUUAAAACUUAAUAAGCGACUUUCGUAUUUGUAACAACUCAUAAGCGGAACAAUAAAAAAUUAUUUAAUUAUGUAUGAGUAUGAGUAUGUUUUAUCAUUCAUUCAUAUGCAUGCUUAUGAAUACACAUGUUUGUAUAUAUGUCUGUCUGCGCGCCAGCAGUAAUGAAAAUGAAGGUGAACUCUAUUGCAUGGCGUACGGUUAGAAGAGUUCAUCGCCGCCGCCUCCGCUGAGUGGAGAGCCACACCACCGCAAAUAGAAAUAAAGCAAAAAACAAAGGAAAUCACAGCGUAGCCGAAUGUGAGGGCAAAGCAGAAGCGGCAGCGACGGCGGAAGAAGCAGAGAGCAGAAUUGGGUUGAAUGCAGUGCGAUGGCGAGCAGGAUGGCGAUGUGAAGUGGGGUGUAGAGAUGUUCAGCGAGCCGCACAGCUGGCCGAUUAGCGUCACUAUGCGGCAUUGAGCCGCCGUUUGGGUUGCUUAAGAAAUUUUAACAGUCAAUUGACAGAGCCAGACAACUGCGACGAAUGAGAGCCACAGCAAGUCGGAGCGUCAGUGAAGAGUAAUAAAGAAUAUAAUGGUGGAGCGACCUGAAUUUGAACACUGUGUUUUUUAACACUUUAUACGUAUGAGUGUAUAUUUAUACAUAUUUCCAUUUGUUUUCCGUUUUUGGUAUGUGACAAAGCGACUGGCGUUGCUGGACGCAAAAUAUUUAGUGUCUGGUGUCAACACUUGUCAAACUCGGUGGAAGGCAGCGAGCGCGACCGCAGCACAAAUCACUAGGAACACAUUGUUUUCAUACAAACAGCGCUGAUUGCUGGCGGCGCGCGCGUUAUAAAUCGAAAUUUCCAAAUCGGAUUACUAUUUCAAUAUACGAGUGUGCACUUAUGCUAAGAAAUUCCACAAUUCCCCACACUUCAACCUAUCUACAUACAUGUAAAUGCCUUGUAAAUAUGUAUGCAUGCAUUACUUCAACUCAAAACGAGGAAAACCCCAGCAACGGAAAUUUUAUCAACAAUUCGGAUAGAAGCGGAACAAAAUGAGAAUAUUCGUAUGUAUGCACG